AAUCAGAUCUAAAUGCUCUAAGUUGAUGCUUUUGCUUCAUACCUGAGCUAUUGGAUCUUGAUUAGCACUCGGGGACCCUCCCUUAUGGUGCCGUUUGAUAUCCCGUGACCUCUAGCAUUAUCUGGUUAUUACACAAGAACUCCAAAGCAAUCUCAGGAGCUAUUCCAUAGGACGAUGAUCAUGAUUCUAGGGCGGACCUGUGCCUUAGAGCCUAAAAAUGAAGUUGAACUAGCUUAAUUAUGUUUUGAUUUCCGUACUCUAUUUCCAAGACAAUGUAACACCUUUGUUUAUAAAUAAAAUACAACUUGUA
rnacentral:lncRNA from 1 species